AUGCUCGCUUUGGCAGCACCUACAUUAAAAUUGGAACAGUACAGAGAUCAGCAUGGCCCCUGCGCAAAUGACACACAAAUUCAAGAAGCAUUCCAUUUAAAA